CAGCCGAGUAAACUGCAGUGGCGGACGGGUGCGUAACGCGUAAGAACUUACCUUUUGGUGGGGGAUAACAGUGGGAAACUGCUGCUAAUACCCCAUAAUGCUGAGGAGCUAAAGGUGAAAACCACCAAGAGAGAGGCUUGCGUCUGAUUAGCUAGUUGGUGUAGGUAAUGGCUUACCAAGGCCUCGAUCAGUAGCUGGUCUGAGAGGAUGAUCAGCCACACUGGGACUGAGACACGGCCCAGACUCCUACGGGAGGCAGCAGUGAGGAAUUUUCCGCAAUGGGCGAAAGCCUGACGGAGCAAUACCGCGUGAAGGAAGAAGGCCCGUGGGCUGUAAACUUCUUUUCUCAGAGAAGAAGAUCUGACGGUACUUGAUGAAUAAGCCACGGCUAAUUCCGUGCCAGCAGCCGCGGUAAUACGGGAGUGGCAAGCGUUAUCCGGAAUUAUUGGGCGUAAAGCGUCCGCAGGCGGCCCUUCAAGUCUGCUGUUAAAAAGUGGAGCUUAACUCCAUCAUGGCAGUGGGAAACUGUUGGGCUUGAGUGUGGUAGGGGCAGAGGGAAUUCCCGGUGUAGCGGUGAAAUGCGUAGAUAUCGGGAAGAACACCAGUGGCGAAGGCGCUCUGCUGGGCCAUCACUGACGCUCAUGGACGAAAGCCAGGGGAGCGAAAGGGAUUAGAUACCCCUGUAGUCCUGGUCGUAAACGAGGUGUCGGGGGAAUCGACCCCCUCGGUGUCUUAGCCAACGCGUUAAGUGUUCCGCCUGGGGAGUACGCACGCAAGUGUGAAACUCAAAGGAAUUGACGGGGGCCCGCACAAGCGGUGGAGUAUGUGGUUUAAUUCGAUGCAACGCGAAGAACCUUACCAGGGUUUGACAUCCUGCGAACCUCUUGGAAACGAGAGGGUGCCUUCGGGAACGCAGUGACUCAGGUGGUGCAUGGCUGUCGUCAGCUCGUGCCGUGAGGUGUAUAGUUAAGUCUAGCAACGAGCGCAACCCUCGUCUUCAGUUACUCGUUUCGAGAAAACUCUGGAGAGACUGCCGGUGCAAGCCGGAGGAAGGAGAGGAUGACGUCAAGUCAGCAUGCCCCUUACAUCCUGGGCUACACACGUAAUACAAUGGUUGAGACAAUCGGAAGCAAUCUCGUGAGAGUGAGCGAAUCUGCUAAACUCAACCUCAGUUCGGAUUGUAGGCUGCAACUCGCCUACAUGAAGCCGGAAUCGCUAGUAAUCGCCAGUCAGCUAUAUGGCGGUGAAAAAGGUCCCGGGCCUUGUACUCUCCGCCCGUCA
rnacentral:rRNA from 1 species